CCCGUUGAUCCUGCCGGAGGCCACUGCUAUGGGGGUCCGACUAAGCCAUGCGAGUCAUGGGGCGCGCUCUGCGCGCACCGGCGGACGGCUCAGUAACACGUCGGUAACCUACCCUCGGGAGGGGGAUAACCCCGGGAAACUGGGGCUAAUCCCCCAUAGGCCUGAGGUACUGGAAGGUCCUCAGGCCGAAAGGGGCAUCUGCCCGCCCGAGGAUGGGCCGGCGGCCGAUUAGGUAGUUGGUGGGGUAACGGCCCACCAAGCCGAAGAUCGGUACGGGCCAUGAGAGUGGGAGCCCGGAGAUGGACACUGAGACACGGGUCCAGGCCCUACGGGGCGCAGCAGGCGCGAAACCUCCGCAAUGCGGGCAACCGCGACGGGGGGACCCCCAGUGCCGUGGCAUCGCCACGGCUUUUCCGGAGUGUAAAAAGCUCCGGGAAUAAGGGCUGGGCAAGGCCGGUGGCAGCCGCCGCGGUAAUACCGGCGGCCCGAGUGGUGGCCGCUAUUAUUGGGCCUAAAGCGUCCGUAGCCGGGCCCGUAAGUCCCUGGCGAAAUCCCACGGCUCAACCGUGGGGCUUGCUGGGGAUACUGCGGGCCUUGGGACCGGGAGAGGCCGAGGGUACCCCUGGGGUAGGGGUGAAAUCCUAUAAUCCCAGGGGGACCGCCAGUGGCGAAGGCGCCCCGCUGGAACGGGUCCGACGGU
rnacentral:rRNA from 1 species